rnacentral:rRNA from 1 species
UACAGAGGUCCCGAGCGUUGUUCGGAUUCACUGGGCGUAAAGGGUGCGUAGGCGGUUGAAUAAGUCUGACGUGAAAUCCUGGAGCUUAACUCCGGAACGGCGUCGGAAACUGUUUAGCUUGAGGAUUGGAGAGGGGACUGGAAUUCUCGGUGUAGCAGUGAAAUGCGUAGAUAUCGAGAGGAACACCAGUGGCGAAGGCGAGUCCCUGGACAAUACCUGACGCUGAGGCACGAAAGCUAGGGGAGCAAACAGG